GACGAACGCUGGCGGCGUGCCUAAUACAUGCAAGUCGAGCGGAGAACUUGGAGCUUGCUCCAGGUUCUCAGCGGCGGACGGGUGAGUAACACGUGGGCAACCUGCCCUGCAGCUCGGGAUAACUCCGGGAAACCGGUGCUAAUACCGGAUAGUUUCGAGUCCCUCCUGGGACACGACGGAAAGACGGCGUCUCGCUGUCACUGCCGGAUGGGCCCGCGGCGCAUUCGCUAGUUGGUGAGGUAACGGCUCACCAAGGCGACGAUGCGUAGCCGACCUGAGAGGGUGAUCGGCCACACUGGGACUGAGACACGGCCCAGACUCCUACGGGAGGCAGCAGUAGGGAAUCUUCCGCAAUGGACGCAAGUCUGACGGAGCAACGCCGCGUGAGUGAAGAAGGUUUUCGGAUCGUAAAACUCUGUUGUGAGGGAAGAUCAAGUGCCAAUUAACUACUGGCACCUUGACGGUACCUCACCAGAAAGCCACGGCUAACUACGUGCCAGCCGCCGCCGUAA
rnacentral:rRNA from 1 species